GAGAGGGACAAGUAUCAGACCGCCUGCGAGAGCACUGUCUUCUUGGAGUGUUCGCCAUGGCCGGAGUCCCCUGCAAGGCCCCGGCCACCUCUCAGCUCUCUGGCUCUGACCUCUCCCCACUCCUGCAGGCUCUUGUCCCCAGAAAGGCUCUGUUCCUCACCACCAUUCGCUCUGGAUACCUUGGGGUGUAGCCCAGUUGAGGAUCUGAACCAAAAAGCCCCCAUCUCAGAGACACAGCAAUGGUUGCAUCAGCACUGGUUCUCCAGCUACUGCCGGAUGCUGGCCAACUUCACUGGUCUGGAUCUGCUGAAGCUUACAUGCCAGGACCUUAUCCAAAUCUGCGGGGCUGCUGAUGGGAUCCGCCUUUUCAAUACUCUUAGAGCCAGGUGCUGGACACUGCCAACCAGGGUCCCCUUCCCACUGUAGUGGCCCUUACUAACUUAGCUAGCAGGUAGGAAUCUAGUCCUCUUUUUCCAUACAGAAAACCACUUUUUUUUUUUUUUUUUUUUCCUGAGAUGGAGUUUCGCUCUUUUGCCCAGGCUGGAGUGAAGUGGUGAAGUGGCACGAUCUCAGUUACCGCACCAGGCCCAGAAAACCACUUUUAUAUUAAACAGUAAACGCUUUCUUAAAAGA
rnacentral:lncRNA from 10 species